UUUAAUGUGCGGAAUAUUUUAUUUUAUUUGGGAUUUGACUGAAAGACUUUUAUUCUUACGACUUUUAAGUCAAACAUUAUGUGUGAGCAUUUGUUUUAGGCAAUAAGAUGAACAUUAAAAAGAGCUCAGAAAAGGAAAUUAUGGACUAAGCCAAAUUUGUUACUUUAAAGCUUCUGGAAACCAGUUCUUCAAAAUCCCAUUUAUUUGUAUAUUUCACUAAGCUUGGUCUCACAAAACAACCUUUUCAAAUUUAGGCGAAAUUUCUCAAAAUUGUAUUCUCAUUUAAUUCACACUACUCGAACGGCAAGUAU